rnacentral:rRNA from 1 species
GUAGGUGGCAAGCGUUGUCCGGAAUUAUUGGGCGUAAAGCGCGCGCAGGUGGUUCUUUAAGUCUGAUGUGAAAGCCCCCGGGCUCAACCGGGGAGGGUCAUUGGAAACUGGGGAACUUGAGUGCAGGAGAGGAAAGUGGAAUUCCACGUGUAGCGGUGAAAUGCGUAGAUAUGUGGAGGAACACCAGUGGCGAAGGCGACUUUCUGGCCUGUAACUGACACUGAGGCGCGAAAGCGUGGGGAGCAAACAGGAUUAGAUACCCUGGUAGUCCACGCCGUAACGAUGAGUGCUAAGUGUUGGGGGGUUUCCGCCCCUCAGUGCUGCAGCUAACGCAUUAAGCACUCCGCCUGGGGAGUACGGUCGCAAAGACUG